rnacentral:ribozyme from 1 species
AGAAAUCUUCAAGCAUUUGGCAAUUUCAGACAAAGCUGGGGGCUUUUCUCUUUUAACGAACCGCUUGGCCCUCCCAGCAGCUCGUUAGUGAUAAAUUCACGCCGUUCUUU